AACAACGGAUCUCUUGGUUCUGGCAUCGAUGAAGAACGCAGCGAAAUGCGAUAAGUAGUGUGAAUUGCAGAAUUCCGUGAAUCAUCGAAUCUUUGAACGCACAUUGCGCCUGUUGGUAUUCCAACAGGCAUGCCUGUUCGAGCGUCAUUUAAGUCUUC
rnacentral:rRNA from 1 species